ACUGAGCGUAUUGGAACGUUAUCGAUAAGAAGAGAGCGUCUAGGCGAACAAUGUUCUUAAAGUUUGACCUCAAAUCAGGUAGGAGUACCCGCUGAACUUAAGCAUAUCAAUAAGCGGAGGAAAAGAAACCAACCGGGAUUGCCUUAGUAACGGCGAGUGAAGCGGCAAAAGCUCAAAUUUGAAAUCUGGUACCUUCGGUGCCCGAGUUGUAAUUUGGAGAGGGCAACUUUGGGGCCGUUCCUUGUCUAUGUUCCUUGGAACAGGACGUCAUAGAGGGUGAGAAUCCCGUGUGGCGAGGAGUGCGGUUCUUUGUAAAGUGCCUUCGAAGAGUCGAGUUGUUUGGGAAUGCAGCUCUAAGUGGGUGGUAAAUUCCAUCUAAAGCUAAAUAUUGGCGAGAGACCGAUAGCGAACAAGUACAGUGAUGGAAAGAUGAAAAGAACUUUGAAAAGAGAGUGAAAAAGUACGUGAAAUUGUUGAAAGGGAAGGGCAUUUGAUCAGACAUGGUGUUUUGUGCCCUCUGCUCCUUGUGGGUAGGGGAAUCUCGCAUUUCACUGGGCCAGCAUCAGUUUUGGUGGCAGGAUAAAUCCAUAGGAAUGUAGCUUGCCUCGGUAAGUAUUAUAGCCUGUGGGAAUACUGCCAGCUGGGACUGAGGACUGCGACGU
rnacentral:rRNA from 1 species